UCUCCGUAGGUGAACCUGCGGAGGGAUCAUUACAGAGUUCUCGCCCUCGCGGGUAGAUCUCCCACCCACUGUUAUCGUUACUGUGUUGCUUUAGCGGGCCGCCGGGCCCCGCUCGGCCGCCGGCUCCGGCUGGCGCGCGCCCGCCAGAGGCCCAGCAAACUCUGAAUGUUAGUGUCGUCUGAGUACUAUAUAAUAGUUAAAACUUUCAACAACGGAUCUCUUGGUUCUG
rnacentral:misc_RNA from 1 species